GAAGGCUCGUCCGCUCAGGGUUAGUCAGGACCUAAGCCGAGGCCGACAGGCGUAGGCGAUGGACAACAGGUUGAUAUUCCUGUACCACCUCUUUAUCGUUUGAGCAAUGGAGGGACGCAGAAGGAUAGAAGAAGCGUGCGAUUGGUUGUGCACGUCCAAGCAGUUAGGCUGAUAAGUAGGCAAAUCCGCUUAUCGUAAAGGCUGAGCUGUGAUGGGGAAGCUCCUUAUGGAGCGAAGUCUUUGAUUCCCCGCUGCCAAGAAAAGCUUCUAGCGAGAUAAAAGGUGCCUGUACCGCAAACCGACACAGGUAGGCGAGGAGAGAAUCCUAAGGUGUGCGAGAGAACUCUGGUUAAGGAACUCGGCAAAAUGACCCCGUAACUUCGGGAGAAGGGGUGCUUUCUUAACGGAAAGCCGCAGUGAAUAGGCCCAAGCGACUGUUUAGCAAAAACACAGCUCUCUGCGAAGCCGUAAGGCGAAGUAUAGGGGGUGACACCUGCCCGGUGCUGGAAGGUUAAGGAGAGGGGUUAGCGUAAGCGAAGCUCUGAACUGAAGCCCCAGUAAACGGCGGCCGUAACUAUAACGGUCCUAAGGUAGCGAAAUUCCUUGUCGGGUAAGUUCCGACCCGCACGAAAGGUGUAACGAUUUGGGCACUGUCUCAACCAGAGACUCGGUGAAAUUAUAGUACCUGUGAAGAUGCAGGUUACCCGCGACAGGACGGAAAGACCCCGUGGAGCUUUACUGUAGCCUGAUAUUGAAUUUUGGUACAGUUUGUACAGGAUAGGCGGGAGCCUUUGAAACCGGAGCGCUAGCUUCGGUGGAGGCGCUGGUGGGAUACCGCCCUGACUGUAUUGAAAUUCUAACCUACGGGUCUUAUCGACCCGGGAGACAGUGUCAGGUGGGCAGUUUGACUGGGGCGGUCGCCUCCUAAAGUGUAACGGAGGCGCCCAAAGGUUCCCUCAGAAUGGUUGGAAAUCAUUCGUAGAGUGCAAAGGCAUAAGGGAGCUUGACUGCGAGACCUACAAGUCGAGCAGGGACGAAAGUCGGGCUUAGUGAUCCGGUGGUUCCGCAUGGAAGGGCCAUCGCUCAACGGAUAAAAGCUACCCCGGGGAUAACAGGCUUAUCUCCCCCAAGAGUCCACAUCGACGGGGAGGUUUGGCACCUCGAUGUCGGCUCAUCGCAUCCUGGGGCUGUAGUCGGUCCCAAGGGUUGGGCUGUUCGCCCAUUAAAGCGGUACGCGAGCUGGGUUCAGAACGUCGUGAGACAGUUCGGUCCCUAUCCGUCGUGGGCGUAGGAAAUUUGAGAGGAGCUGUCCUUAGUACGAGAGGACCGGGAUGGACGCACCGCUGGUGUACCAGUUGUUCUGCCAAGGGCAUAGCUGGGUAGCUAUGUGCGGAAGGGAUAAGUGCUGAAAGCAUCUAAGCAUGAAGCCCCCCUCAAGAUGAGAUUUCCCAUAGCGUAAGCUAGUAAGAUCCCUGAAAGAUGAUCAGGUUGAUAGGUUCGAGGUGGAAGCAUGGUGACAUGUGGAGCUGACGAAUACUAAUAGAUCGAGGACUUAACCAU
rnacentral:rRNA from 1 species